UGUGUGUGUGUAUGUGUGUAUAAUUGAUAGACAACAACACAAAAUACAGGUGCAAAAAUAAAUCCUCUUUUGCAACCCAAAACUGAGUGUUCAGUAUCCAUUUUGGCCCGCAUAAGAAUGGUAUACA